rnacentral:rRNA from 2 species
ACGGAAGGCAGCAGUGGGGAAUAUUGCACAAUGGGCGAAAGCCCGAUGCAGCGACGCCGCGUGAGUGAAGAAGUAUCUCGGUAUGUAAAGCUCUAUCAGCAGGGAAGAAAAUGACGGUACCUGACUAAGAAGCCCCGGCUAACUACGUGCCAGCAGCCGCGGUAAUACGUAGGGGGCAAGCGUUAUCCGGAUUUACUGGGUGUAAAGGGAGCGUAGACGGUUUGGCAAGUCUGAAGUGAAAUGCGGGGGCUCAACUCCUGAACUGCUUUGGAAACUGUCGAACUAGAGUGCAGGAGAGGUAAGUGGAAUUCCUAGUGUAGCGGUGAAAUGCGUAGAUAUUAGGAGGAACACCAGUGGCGAAGGCGGCUUACUGGACUGUAACUGACGUUGAGGCUCGAAAGCGUGGGGAGCAAACAGGAUUAGAUACCCUGGUA